GCUGCCGUAGCUCAGUGGUAGAGCGCACCCUUGGUAAGGGUGAGGUCGAGAGUUCAAUUCUCUCUGGCAGCACCA
rnacentral:tRNA from 1 species